rnacentral:rRNA from 1 species
GAUGAACGCUGGCGGCGUGCCUAAUACAUGCAAGUCGAGCGAACAGACGAGGAGCUUGCUCCUCUGACGUUAGCGGCGGACGGGUGAGUAACACGUGGAUCACCUACCUAUAAGACUGGGAUCACCUCGGGAAACCGGCGCUAAUACCGGAUAAUAUAUUGAACCGCAUGGUUCAAUAGUGAAAGACGGUUUUGCUGUCACUUAUAGAUGGAUCCGCGCCGCAUUAGCUAGUUGGUAAGGUAACGGCUUACCAAGGCUACGAUGCGUAGCCGACCUGAGAGGAUGAUCAGCCGCACUGGAAGUGAGACACGGCCCAGACUCCUAGGGGUGGGAGCAAUAGGGAAUCUUCCGCAAGGGGCGGAAGCCUGACGGAACAGCGCCGCGUGAGUGAUGAGGAACUUCGGAUCGGAAAUCACUGUUAUUAGGGAGGAACAAAUGUGUAAGUAACUAGACACGUCUGGGCGGUAACUGGGCAGAGAGCCACGGCUAACUUCGUG